rnacentral:misc_RNA from 1 species
UUUCCGUAGGUGAACCUGCGGAAGGAUCAUUAAAGAGAUCAUGCCCUCACGGGUAGACCUCCCACCCUUUGUUUACAAUACCUUUGUUGCUUUGGCGGGCCCGUUUGGCCCCGCGCUGAACAACCGGCCCCGGCUGGUCAGUGCCCGCCAGAGAACCGAGAACUCUGAAUUAAAUGUCGUCUGAGUACUAUGUAAUAGUUAAAACUUUCAACAACGGAUCUCUUGGUUCUG